rnacentral:snRNA from 1 species
GUGCUUGCUUCAGCAGCACAUACACUAAAAUUGGAACAAUACUGAGAAGAUUAGCAUGGCCCCUGGGGCAAGGAUGACACGCAAAUUCGUGACACAUUCCAUAUUUUU